rnacentral:rRNA from 1 species
CCUACGGGUGGCAGCAGUAGGGAAUAUUGCUCAAUGGGGGUAAGCCUGAAGCAGCAACGCCGCGUGGAGGAUGACUGCCCUCUGAUUGUUAAAUCUCUUUGUUAGAGAAGAUAAUGACGGUACCUAUCGAAUUAUCACCGGUUAAUUCCGGGCCAGCAUCCGCGGGCACCCGGCGGGCACAAGCGUUACUCGGAAUCAUUGGGCGUAAAGGGGGCGUAGGCGGGAUAGCAAGUUACGUGUGAAAUCCUAUGGGUUAACCAUAGAACCGCAUUUGAAACUGUUGUUCGUGAGUUGGGGAGAGGUAGGUGGAAUGCUUGGUGUAGGGGUAAAAUCCGUAGAGAUCAAGAAGAAUACUCAUUGCGAAGGCAACCUGCUAGAACAUAACUGACGCUGAUGCGCGAAAGCGUGGGGAGCGAACAGGAUUAGAUACCCUGGUAGUC